rnacentral:rRNA from 1 species
GUACCUGCAGAAAAAAGCGCCGGCUAACUACGUGCCAGCAGCCGCGGUAAUACGUAGGGCGCAAGCGUUAUCCGGAAUUAUUGGGCGUAAAGAGCUCGUAGGCGGUUUGUCGCGUCUGCUGUGAAAUCCCGAGGCUCAACCUCGGGUCUGCAGUGGGUACGGGCAGACUAGAGUGCGGUAGGGGAGAUUGGAAUUCCUGGUGUAGCGGUGGAAUGCGCAGAUAUCAGGAGGAACACCGAUGGCGAAGGCAGAUCUCUGGGCCGUUACUGACGCUGAGGAGCGAAAGGGUGGGGAGCAAACAGGCUUAGAUACCCUGGUAGUCCACCCCGUAAACGUUGGGAACUAGUUGUGGGGUCCAUUCCACGGAUUCCGUGACGCAGCUAACGCAUUAAGUUCCCCGCCUGGGGAGUACGGCCGCAAGGCUAAAACUCAAAGGAAUUGACGGGGACCCGCACAAGCGGCGGAGCAUGCGGAUUAAUUCGAUGCAACGCGAAGAACCUUACCAAGGCUUGACAUACACGAGAACGGGCCAGAAAUGGUCAACUCUUUGGACACUCGUGAACAGGUGGUGCAUGGUUGUCGUCAGCUCGUGUCGUGAGAUGUUGGGUUAAGUCCCGCAACGAGCGCAACCCUCGUUCUAUGUUGCCAGCACGUAAUGGUGGGAACUCAUGGGAUACUGCCGGGGUCAACUCGGAGGAAGGUGGGGAUGACGUCAAAUCAUCAUGCCCCUUAUGUCUUGGGCUUCACGCAUGCUACAAUGGCCGGUACAAAGGGCUGCAAUACCGCGAGGUGGAGCGAAUCCCAAAAAGCCGGUCCCAGUUCGGAUUGAGGUCUGCAACUCGACCUCAUGAAGUCGGAGUCGCUAGUAAUCGCAGAUCAGCAACGCUGCGGUGAAUACGUUCCCGGGUCUUGU